AAAAGAUCAUGCCCUCACGGGUAGACCUCCCACCCUGUGUUAUUUACUAUUGUUGCUUUGGCAGGCCGCCUCCGGGCUCCCGGCUUCGGCUGGGGUGCGCCUGCCAGAGGACCCCAACUCUGUGUUUAGUGUCGUCUGAGUACUAUAUAAUAAGUUA
rnacentral:misc_RNA from 1 species